rnacentral:rRNA from 1 species
UUUACCGUGCGAGGUAGCGCAAUCACUUGUCUUUUAAAUGAAGACCCGUAUGAAUGGCACGACGAGGGCUUAACUGUCUCCUUUUUCUAGUCAAUGAAAUUGAUCUCCCCGUGCAGAAGCGGGGAUAAACCCAUAAGACGAGAAGACCCUGUGGAGCUUUAGACAAAAGAACAGACCAUGUCAAAAAUCCCCGGAUAAGGGAAAGAACUAAUUAGACCCUGUUCUAAUGUCUUUGGUUGGGGCGACCACGGGGAAACGAAAAUCCCCCAUGUGGAAUGGAACCACACACACACCUUCUACAACCGAGAGUUACAACUCUAAGCAACAGAAAUUCUGACCAUAAUGAUCCGGCACCGCCGAUCAACGGAACGAGUUACCCCAGGGAUAACAGCGCAAUCCCCUUUUAGAGCCCAUAUCGACAAGGGGGUUUACGACCUCGAUGUUGGAUCAGGACAUCCUAAUGGUGCAGCCGCUAUUAAGGGUUCGUUUGUUCAACGAUUAAAGUCCUACGUGAUCU